rnacentral:rRNA from 1 species
UACGUAGGGGGCAAGCGUUGUCCGGAAUCAUUGGGCGUAAAGCGCGUGUAGGCGGCCCGGUAAGUCCGCUGUGAAAGUCGGGGGCUCAACCCUCGGAUGCCGGUGGAUACUGUCGGGCUUGAGUACGGAAGAGGAGAAUGGAAUUCCGGUGUAGCGGUGAAAUCGCGCAGAUAUCGGGAAGAACACCCGUGGCGAAGGCGGUUCUGACUGG